UACGUAGGGGGGCAAGCGUUGUCCGGAAUGAUUGGGCGUAAAGCGUCUGUAGGUGGCUUUUCAAGUCCGCCGUCAAAUCCCAGGGCUCAACCCUGGACAGGCGGUGGAAACUACCAAGCUGGAGUACGGUAGAGGACCAUGGAAUUCCUGGUGUAGCGGUGGAAUGCGUAGAUAUCAGGAGGAACACCGGUGGCGAAGGCGGGUCUCUGGGCCGUAACUGACGCUGAGGAGCGAAAGCAUGGGGAGCGAACAGG
rnacentral:rRNA from 1 species